ACUCCUACGGGAGGCAGCAGUAGGGAAUCUUCCACAAUGGGCGAAAGCCUGAUGGAGCAACGCCGCGUGAGUGAUGAAGGUUUUCGGAUCGUAAAGCUCUGUUGCCAGGGAAGAACGUCCGGGUGAGUAACUGCACUCGGAGUGACGGUACCUGAGAAGAAAGCCCCGGCUAACUACGUGCCAGCAGCCGCGGUAAUA
rnacentral:rRNA from 1 species